rnacentral:lncRNA from 1 species
AAAGAAACAAACAAACAAAAAACACUUUUGAAGACAUAAGGGCUUGACAGAGGCAGUUUGUGCCUUCUUGCCCUUCUGCUCUGUGAGGACACGGCAUUCAAGAAGCCAUCUUAAAAGCAGAAAGCAGCCCUCACCAGACAACUAAACCUGCUAGCCCCUUGAUCUUGGACUCUCGGCCUCCAGAACUGUAAGAAAAUGAAUUUCUGUUCUUUGUAAAUUACCCAGUCUGAGGUAUUUUGUUACAGCAGCACAAAAAAACUAAAACACAGAGUGACCUUUUCUAUAGGAUUUGAACAAAUGGUUCUGACCAUCUGACUGCUCAUCAACUUCUGAGGUUCCUCUGUUCUAAUGAUUCUACUGAAUCACAGAAUCAUUAGAAUGAGUCUAUGAAUAGCCUAUGAUUGUAUUAUCCAUCCCAUUAUCAAGCUCCUAAUUAGGUAUGGACUAUAUUCAUCUAACCACAGAAAUCGUCAUUACAGACAAAUGUUCAUUUCUCUAACUUUUCUAGAAUAAAUCUCAGCUUUUAUAAUGA